GACGGAGGAUGCAAGCGUUAUCCGGAAUGAUUGGGCGUAAGGCGUCCGCAGGUGGCAGUUCAAGUCUGCUGUCAAAGACCGGGGCUUAACUUCGGAAAGGCAGUGGAAACUGAACAGCUAGAGUAUGGUAGGGGCAGAGGGAAUUCCUGGUGUAGCGGUGAAAUGCGUAGAGAUCAGGAAGAACAUCGGUGGCGAAGGCGCUCUGCUGGACCAUAACUGACACUCAGGGACGAAAGCUAGGGGAGCGAAUGGG
rnacentral:rRNA from 1 species